GGUGGACUAUUUUGUGUCCAACAACAGAUGAAGAAGCAAAACAGAGCAUAAACCCGAAAACAGCUUUUUUCUUUCUACUAAUGAAAAAUGGCGGAUUCAGGCCAUGAGAUCGAUAUCAGCUGCCAUCAUUGCGCAGGCCCACUUACGAAAAGAAACGAGUGAACUGACUGUGACUCCUUUCAUCAGGGACAGCUUUUCUAUGAUUGGAUCAGCUGUUGGGGGUACUGCAAGUGCAUUCAUUGGAUUUAACCAUGUUAUGCCAAUUGUACGCAAGUGGAUAAAAGGACCCAUGCUUUGUUCCUUUUCUCUGGUUCCAUGCAAUCAUCUACGGGAAUGACCACUAAAUUGCACCACCUGUUAUAGUUCUUUCAUCAGCCUGUGCUGGACUAGCAGGUGGCACUCUACCGGCGUUGGCACAGCUCGCUUCAUCUUCAUACCGAGCAACAAUCCAUUCGUCUCAGCCACCACCGCAGGCAGAGGAGAAUAACAAAUUGCACAAGUCUUCUUCAGCAUCUCCUCUGUAAAAAAACAUUCAGCACAGCUUUCUCUUUUGUUCCAUUAUCUUUUUCUCCAUAAUAAUGUAUGUCAAUCUUUUCUCUUAAGAGUGAGAUUCUUGGUGUAAAUUCCUCUAUAGUAUUUUUACUAGGUGUUUUCCUGCACCAUGUGCAGUGAUAAAAUUUUUAAAAUUUAAAUUAUAUUUAAAAAUGAAAUUUACCAA